UGUUUAAGGUGCGCACAACAUGUGUUUGAUGAAAUGUCUCAGGGGAAGAGCUGCGAGACUUGGAGAAUGCACGACAUUGUUGUUGUGGUGGUGCCAAGCUCUGUAUCCCUUCGUUGUCAUUUUUAUUCUUUGCCCAAUUGCGACUUGAGUCCAUUAGAUUAUCAAUCGUUUCUGCAACCAAAAGCCAACAUUAUUAAUAGAGAAAAUGCUACAAAUGAUGCAAUGUUCAAUGUUAAAAACUGAGAAAAUAUGAAAACAGACACAUGGCAUGCAAGCUGACUGUUAGUCGUCCAGCCUGAAGAAUCUGGCUAGUCCGCUCAUUAUAUAAGGUAGGCCAAAAUAUAGAGAAGAAAUGGCAGUUUGCAUUAAAUAUACACAAGUGUUCUCAACUUGAUUAGUGGACCAACCUGCUUUUCUUGGCCAAGGAAACUGCACGUUAUGUAUGAUCCAUGUGAUGGAUCUAUUAAAUUUGUCACAUGAAUAUUGUGGUUAUAAAUGAGUGGAAUUAUCAAAUGUCCUUGUCACAAAAAAUAAAAUAAAUUCAAACAUCCUUGUCACAGAGAUAAAUAUCAUUCUCAGUCAUUUCUCUGCUAGUAGAAUUCAGGGGAGAUUUUAGAUUUCAAGGUUUUCUAAGGAUAUUAUUGGGAAUAUCUUGGUGAAACUAAAAAGAUUUAAAAAAUGUUUGUGACAUGAAUACUGUGUUACAAAUUCAUGGAAUUUCAAAUGUCCUUCUCAGCAAUUUCUCAGCCAGCCAGUCCCCAGACCAGGUAAAAGGAGGGUUGAUGUCAUGUAGGUAGCUGGCCUGAAGUUCUAUCAAGCGGUCAUGAGAAUUCCUGUUUCAAAUCUUGAUAGAAGAAACACUAUUUGAGUUAUGGAACAUCUUUGUUUGCUUUAAAUUUUUUUUUUUUUUUUUUUAAUUUUUUGAUGCAAUCUGUUCAUGUAUGACAAACAUAAUUAUUGGUCUUUCAUCAUGGACUUGAUGGGAGCAAAAGUCCAAAGUGACCAAGUUCUCAUACAAUUAGAAUGCUAAGGUUAAUAACAUAAAAUUCCAAGUUUAUUCUGCACGCUCAAUUGACUUUCUAGUUUAACAAUCUUAUUAUAUCUCUUUCUUCAAGUCAUUUUGAGUCCUUGAUCGAGUUUAUUGAGUUUUGAAAGCUUUUGCAUGAUCUUAUUUUCUCAACUUUCAAAGACAAGAUCAAGUUUUUGAGUACUUGAUUUCUCGUGUGCUCUUAUCAACUUCUCUUUCCUUUUCUUGUAACUAAAAUUCCCCCUUUAGCAUUUCUUAAGACGAGUUGAAUCUCCUCAGCUUUCUUGGGCACUAAACACUGUUGUUUUUAGAUGUAACUUCUCACUAAAGAUUCACAGUCUUCUUGAAAAAUAAUGUAAAACCAACCCCAAAUAAAGGACCCAAAAUGAAACAUCCACAUUUGUUUGAAAAGUUAUGUUUGCUGAUAAUAUGAAAAAUUUCAGGGUUUUUUCUUCAUUCUAGGGGAGAUUUAUUCAUAUGUAUUUUCUAAUUUGCCAAAAGCUAAAACAUUUUAAGUUAGUGGAAAGAUUUUGAUGAGGACAUCAGAUCACCAUUCAUUAGGCUUUGGUUGGAGUAGGGAGGCAAACUGCCUUAGUGGGAAUUUAAAUGCUGCCAACUCUCUCUCUCAGACGAAGCUCUGAGUUCUAACAUGGACUGGUUGGUCUUUACUUUGUUCUGCUUAUUCUAAUGUUCCAGAGAAUAAUUGACAUUUUUCUAAUGCUAUCUAUCUCUGAAUCAGGUCAAAGCAUCCAAAAUCUGUAUUGAUUAUGGAUGAGGUUGAUGGCUUGCUUCUUAAAGGAGUCAUCGAAGCAGUAGAAGAAGAAGCAGAAGCAGCAGGUAUGUAUGUACAUGCUUUUCCCUUGUCAUUCUUGGCUCAAAUACCUUCAGGCAAUCUUAGUUGUCUGGAAAACAUUACAAAUGCCACAUAUUUUGUGUAUAGACCCAGUACUGAUUCGAUAAAUACCCCCAUAAGUUGUGCUUUUAGCCAUAUAAUAAUUCUAAACUUAUAGUCCCCAAAAGAAAAAUGGUCAAAGGCCCACAUUUGGUUAGAGGUGGAGAAUAAAUUUAGGCUAGGAUUACCUCAAAAAAUAAAAAUCUUUUUGUCAACAUCAAAUAUUGAAUUGCUCAAAGUAAUGAUUCACCUGGAUUGGAAUUGCUUGAAAUUAUGCAUGCACAUGUUCCUUUUGUGAGACUAUUUUGUUGGUCUGCUCUUUCCAAAUGAGCAUUAGGGAAAAGAAAGACUAUUUUGUUGGUCUGCUCUUUCCAAAUUAGCAUAAGGGAAAGGAAAGGUAUCUUCUUCUUCUUCUUUUUUUUGGGUGGACGCAAGGUCCCCAGAUUUACAGAUGGGGUUUAGAAUCAAUGUUUAGCAUAUUCAGUGAACCACUACUGCUUGAAUUUGUAUUAACAGCCCAAUUUCAGUUAUUGCACCACUAUUACAAAUCAUCUCGACUCAUUGGUAUCUCAAAUAUUUAAACUGACUUUUUUUAAUAAAUAGUUUCUACCCAUGUUAUGUGGGUCCUUCAAAAGUGGAGUAUCUGAGUUCGAUACUCAAACAGUAGGAUAAGGUAUGGAUAAGAGACCUGCCUUCACAAGACUUGAAAUCUAGAUCCAUUCUGUUUUUAAACUGUUGAGCUAUCAGUUAUUUAGAAUUUUAAAUGAAUAUUACCAAUUGGGUUGCAAGUCCAGCUUGCUUGAUAUUGUUGGGGCAUCAUUUGAACUUGGCUAUCUUUUUUGAACAGUAACACAAGAAAAUUUUAGUAGAACCACUGAAAAGAGGGAAAAAUGAGAAUAAGCAAUGUGGGAUGAAGAGAGAUCAUUGCAUUCACCCCUAAAGAUGGCAUUAAGGAAGAAAAAGACACAACAGCCCAAUAAUUCCUCCUUUUUACUUCUAAAUUGUAGGCAAACCCAUUGCCCAAGAUGGAUCCAACUGUUUAGCUUAUGAAAGAUCUCUUCCACAGAUUCCAAGCAAUUGCUGAAGUACCUGUUGUUUCUUCCUUUCUAGAUUGACCACACCACUGCUAGAAAGGAGAGACACCAUAUAAAUAUUUUCCUUUUGCCUUUCUUUCAUCUGUUCUAGGCAAAGUAGAAAGCAUCAAUCAAACAUGGUGCAUUCCAUAACAUGAUUAUCUUAUGAGUUCUGACCAAUCCCUUGCUGUAUCUGUCAUGAAAAUUUGGAUUUAGGGGAUCUGCCGUACUUGAUCCUUGCUGUAUCCAUACUCAGGUACUGUAUGUUUAUACAAUUUUCUCCAAGAAGAUAGUCAUGCAUAUGAUUUAGCAAUGGUAAGAACUUUUCUUUGGCUUACUUCACCAAUUUGCCACUGAGCCAUUGAAUUGCCUAUGGAUGCGUUGGUAACUUCAAAAUCUUUUGCCAAAGAAGAAGAAAAAGAAGGAGACAAGUUUUAUUCUUUUGUCAGAGAAGAAGAAGGUGACAAGUUUUAUUCUUUUGCCAGAGAAGAAGGUGACAAGUUUUAUUAUUUAUAGGUUUUGACCCGUCCACUUUCAUGCCUGAUUAAAGUUCUCCUCUGCCCUUUGAUUUUAUAGAUGCGGAUUGGCUUGUUACCCGAGGUUGUAUCGUGGUGAUCCAGUGCUAAAUCCUCUUACACCUUGGGAUAGACCAUUGAAAAACAUUUUCUGUAUAUAUGGGAUAGAUAUGAAGACUGAGUUUGUGAGUGUUUAACUCCUGAUACUGUAAAUAAUAAGUAUCAUGGAUGUGAAGACUGGUGGAGGCAAGUUUUUUCAGCACAAGGCUUAUUGUGAAAAGCAUAGCUUGGAUCAGAAAAAGAAGGCUGAGAGUCUGUAACAUGGACCUGAUGAGGUCCGCCGCAUUAAGCAAAUUCGGGUCAUUGAGAAUGUACUAUAAUCCACAUCUUGUCUGUUUUCUCAUUCAUUAUUAGAUCCUCCUUUUGGGUUUCCUUUCCAGCACUUCCAACUCUCAAUUCUACUCUCUUUCCUUUCCCUACACACAUCCAUCUGCAUUUCAUUUCUUGUUUGAGAGUUUCAUUUCAUGUGUUGCGGCCAGCAAGCCAGAGCUACAUGUUGAGGUUACAGGGCCUGUUACGCACAAUUCGAAUGGAGAAUGCUGGUGGAGGCAAUGAUGACGUUGGCUUGGAAGCAGCAGAAGAUGGACGGGUAGUGUUAUCUCAAGGUCCGCCAAGCACGAUGGCACCGGUGAUGAUGUGCGCAACCAUGACUUUGUAUUAUUUGUGGAACCUAGUAUUGUGUAACAAUUUGAUUGAGUUAAACUUUAAAUAGACUGUUGUUAACUGUUUUGUUGGUAUUGUGGCUUUCAUGAUUGAUUGUUUCAUGAGUGGAUUGAAUG